UUUUUUUUCUUGGUGAUUUCGCCGGAAGUAGUUCCUUUGUUACUUGUGCAUUCGUUCGAGAUGGUGGCACUGCCAUCUGGGUUUGUCUGAGAGUCUAUAUCGGGGUUUCAGGGAGCGACACUUCUAUCUGGGUUUGUUUGAUAGUCUGUACUGGACUUUGAGGGAGUUUGGGUUCUUGGCUUGCUGGACUGCCACCUUUUUUCAGCCUGCAACUUUCAGCCAAAGACUUUCGAUAGUGUUAUAGUCAACAACCUUGAACACUGUUAGCAAUUCACCUCUGCACGAAAAGAAACAAAAUGAAAGCCAUGGAGAACAGUCAAGUUGACCCCAGGGAAUUAUUAGAGUGAUGACAAUCAGAAGUGAAUUUUUAUAAUUUAUUUUUAUUUUUAAAAUUUAAUAAUUUCACUUUUAUAAAAAUUUUAAAAUUUUUUUAACAUAUUUUUAUUUUUUUAGAAUUUUAUAAUUUUGUUUCUAUAAUAUUUUUUUGUUUGGUGAGAUGUCCCAUAAUAAUUAGUUAACAACUAAUUUUAAUAAGACUAAAUUAAAACUUAUUGUAAUAGAAUUAUUUCCAAACCCUAUUUCUCAAAACCUCACAACCACCCCUAUUGUUCUUGUUUCUUUUUACCAAAUACUAUAGAAAUAAUUUUUUUUAUAUACAUUUUUGCUUACUAGCAUUCUCUGUGGAGAAAACUUUUAUUCGGUAAUUUAAUUUUUUUAUCAUGAUCAUUGAUAAGUUUAGUAUAUUUACUUAUUUUAUUUUUAAAAUUUUCAACUUUAAAUUUUUUUCUUGAUUUAAUAAUUUCUACUUAAUGAUUUUGAUUUAAGAUUUACCGUUUUCAUCAUUUUUUUUUGAAAGCAAUAAAACAAGGAUUUGAUUAAGCUUACUUAUUUUUUUAAGGAUUGUUUGAUUGCUUUCCUACAAAUUAUUUGUGUUUUUUUAUUUUCUUGAAUUCUUAUGAAUAAUUAAAUUUUUUAUUCAGGAUUGCUUUGCUAUUGAAUUGUUUAUUAAUAUUGUAUUUAAUUUUUGUGAUUAAUUUUAAAAAAUUACUUCCCAUUAAAUUAUUUAUUGAUAGCCACUAAUAUUUUUUAAUGGAUUGACUUUUUAUUAGAAUUUUUGUUAUUGUAUUUGUUGAUUUUUGUUUGUUGUUAAAUUUUUAUAUAAAUUGAGAUUAUUAUCAUUAUUAAAUUAUUUAUGAUUAUAUUAGUUAAUUUUUUAAGUAAAUUAUUAAAAUUGAUUUUUGAAUAAUUUUUAAAAUUUAUUUGUAUGAAUUUUAUAUAAACUUAUUUCAUCUAAGUUGUUUUAUAUUGUCUUCAACUCUUCGCUCAAAACACGAAAUCUUGACUCCGCCGCCAAUGACAAUUGAAGCCACAAUAUUUGACAUACAUGACUGAAGUAGUUGUUCAGGUGGAAGUAGACGACGGGUACAAAAAGUAUAGGGCGUGAGCAAUUAGUAGAAAAUUGUCUACUUUCAAUCUUAUCUCUACGUUCAUCCCACUCGUCCAUGGUAUCAAAAGUUGGUCGUUGGGUUAAUGAGAAGUGAAAAAAGAAGGGUUCCAAUCACCAUACUAACUCCUGAGCUUUAUAGUUUGUCUUCAAAUAGUUUUCGAUCCUUUUAAGUCUCACUUGAAGGUGGAAGUACUGGAAGAUGCUAAGAAAGCUUGAGUUAGGAAUAGGUGGAAGAGAAAUUAAAUAUACUAUAUCUAUCGUAUGUUGCGUUAGUGGUUGCAAAAAUGCGAUAGCUUAAUUAUUAGGUAGCAUACAUGAAUGAAAAGGCACUGGAAUCAUUUGUUCUCGUACUGGUUAACAAGAGAUGGAAGUGAACCCAGUUGCUUUGUCAUCAACAACUAAGAAUAAAAGACAGUUUGCUUAUUGGUGCCCCACUAAAUCUUUAGAAUAUGAAUAUGAGAUUAAGGUCAAAAUAUUAAAAUUGCAACAUUCUUCUUUAAAAAAAGAACUAUACAAUAAGUAAAGAAUUUCAGUUACUUUACUAGCUACUUAAAUUUAGCUUGUCCACUGUCAACUUCAAGUCAAGUUUAAAUAUUUAAUUAGUUUUUUUAAAAGGAAAAAUAUGUAAUUUUAUUGCUUUUAGUCAUAAUUCAAAUAACUAUGAGCUUUGUAAAGUGCAUAAAGUAAAAGAAAAAAAAAACCCAAUACCAAUAGGGCCCAAUUUUGGGAAUCAUUGGGAGAAGUUGGAGUCUUAAACAAAGUUCAGCCCAACCUCACAAUUAUAGAACCAGCCAAGAGAAACAAUUGCAUCCUCCCAACUCUUAUUAAGAUAUCUAAUUCAAUACGGAAGUAUUGUGGGAAUGAAAACAAAUUAAUCUAAUGUUUGGUAUUUUAUAAUAUAAUGUGAUUACAAGUAAUGUGAUUGUACGAAAGAUAAUAUUGCAGUGUUGGGUAUAUAAGUAAUGUAAUGAUUAAAAUGCAGAAAAGAUAACAUUACAGUGUUUAUUUUGCAAGUACUUUACAUGGUAUGUAAUGUUAAUUUUCAAAACUACCCUUAUAUAUUAAAAUACAAGUUUAACAUGUUUUUUUAUUGUUAAUUUUUAUAUAAUGCCAUUUUUUAAAUAUAUUUUUAAUUAAAUAUAUUUUAUUUUUCAUUUCUUAUUACAAGUAUAUAUUUUAUUUCUAUUUUUAAUAUAAUUUCUUAUAUUGUAUAUUUUAUUUUAAAUUUUUAAUAUCAAAGUAACCAUUUUUUGUUUUUCAUACUUAUUUUUUCUCUUUUCUAGCGGAUUCAUCACCAUAAGCAGUUCCCGACUCACAACCAAGAACUCCCCAAACCACAAAGACAAAGGAGAAAAUGAGUGGUUAAGAGAAAAACAGAGCUGUAGUUGUAGAUCACCAGCACCAUCAAUAUGAAACUUUCCAAGGAGUAGCCAACUACCCUCCUCCGCCUCCUCCACAUAACUAGCACCAGCACCAUCACCAUCAGCCAGCUAUUAGGUUUCCUCAGCCUGUUCCACCUCCUGGCCCCCAUGAACCCUCUGCUCCUCCUCCUCUCUUGCAAAUCAAGGGCCAAAUUGUUUCACUGAUAAACCCUAAAAUAUAAAUAUGAAAAAAACUCAAAUUAACAGAAAAAAGUCAGAUUGAAGAAUACAAGAAGAAGAUAAAAAAAAAAAAAAGAAAAAGAAGAAUGGGAGAUUUCAACCCACAAUUUUAGAUGAUAAAAAAGCAGAGCUAGAAGAAGAAUGAGCGACUUUAGCAAAAUGGAGAAGAAGCAGCAGACCCUAAACCCCAAAAAACAUGAUGAACUUAUUUGCUUCGGAUUGUGAGUAAUUUUUUUAAAAGAUGAGCAAUUCCCCAUACAAUUCCAAAUGGACUGUUCUAGAUAAGCAAACCCAGCUCUUAACAUUCAUUUACUUUCUUUUCAUCCUACUCCCUUCCAUAGCACGAUAAGAGUGUACGUGUGAACCUAAAGAUGAAGUUCGCAACAAGUAGUGCUCAAAUACAAGAUGGCUGCUAUAACUUCGAUUCUUGCUGUAGCCAUAGGAGUUUGCUCUCCCCUGCUUGGGAAACCUAUCUAAGUUUUACGCCUCGAAAAUAAUUUAAAUAUCAAAUAUCUAAAUAGUUUACAUGAUAGAUAUAUGGAUCUACAUAUAUCACUUUGAAUACAUUUUAAAAAUAUAAGAAAUUUAAGUAAUGUCCUUAUAAUUAAUUUAGCUUGAAAGUAAGCAACAUAUGGAAAUUCAUCAAAUUAAAAAAUCUUUUAGGUUUUCAAUAGAUGAUUACAUGAAUUUUCAAUUAUUUUUCAUAUCAUUAUUGAUCCGAAAUGACUUAAUUAGUAAUGUCAAAUAUUAAAAUCAUUAGUAAAUUUCUAAUUAACUAUAAAAUGAGUUUCAAUAAUUUUAAUAUUUUGUAAUACAAUCUAGAUUCAAAUAGCCAGUAAUUUUUUCAACACACUUCUUACUCUAGAUAAUAAUGUAAUAUAAAGAUAUUAAGUUUCCCUUUCAUUUGUUAUCUUAAUAUGAUAUCUAUUAGAUGAAUAUCUUUAAAACUUAAUAAAUUUCUUUAAGAUUUAGUUGAAAAUAAUGCAUCUUCAAUUAUAAACUUUAUUCCUUUGGGUAAUAAAAUAUUGACUCUUCCAAAACUUCAAUUAAUCUUAUACUAUUAGAUAUAGUAUUGACAUCAAUUUCUUCCAUUUUCAAGUAAGAAAAUAUUUUUUAUCUUUAAAUAUAGUAUGUAUUGUGGCACUGUCAACAUAUAUCUGCAUCAUUGAUCUUAGAUCUAAUCAUAUGGAUAUUCAUAUUUUAAAAUAAGAUAUAUAGUAAGAAACUUGCAAGUUAACCUAAGAGAACAAUAAAUAUAAGUUUAUUAUUAAAAAACCUAAUAAGAACGUAUCAUUUAAAUGUAAUGAGAGCAUAUAAAAAUAUCUUCAUAAUAAAGUUAUACAAAAACAUAUUAAUAAACUAGUAAGAAAUUUUAUUUUUAGAUAUUUACAUCACUAAUUAGAUGAUCAAUUCUUCUUUCAUAACAUCUAGAUGUGUUAUAUCAAUUUGGCUAUUGUUAAAAUCAUCUUGAACAAAAUUUGUUUCAGUAAAUAGUUUUUCUUCUUAACUUUCAAUGAUACUUGAUAAAGUUCAAUAAGAUAUUUCAGUGUAAAACAAAUACGUAACUAAUGACCUUUCAUACUAUGAUAAACAUUUUCUAUAUUCUUUUUAUUUUAUCUAUUUUUUUCUUUUUCUUGUAUCUUUUCAAUGUUCAUCCAUUUCGGGUGGUUAAAUGUAUUCGUCCACUUUUUGUGGUUAAAUGUCUUCAUCUACUUUUGGUGGUUAAAUGUAUUUUUACUAUUAGAUUAAUGAUUAGUGUAACCACUGCAAUUACAAUUAUUAUGCUAACACUUUUUAGAUCCAUGACCAUAAUUAUUAAAUGAUGUCGCCUUCAUUUCAAGAGAUGGAUGAGGUUGAUGAUUUUUGAUUAGUAGCUCAUUAUUUUUCUCAAGUAUAAAAAUAUGAAAUCCAAAACAAAAUGUACUUUCAGAUUACCUAAAGUAUAUUAUUUUUGACUUGUUAUAAAAUAAAUAUCAUAUAAAGUUAAUUUCAUAUAUUCAAUUCCAAUUGUCUUAUGUAAAAUCUUACAGUAUCAAUGAUAGAUUUACAUAUACGAACAUAAUUAUAUUUGAAAUUCAAAACAUAGAAAACAUAUAUUGAGCAAAUUAUAUUUUAAUAUCAAAAUAAAGAGAUAAUAUAUAAUUAUUUAUAUAUUUACAUCCAUAAUCUGAUUUAAUAAAUUAAGAGACCAAAUAUAAUACAUACUACAUUAUUACAGAUUCACAUUUCGUUUAAUAAAUUAAAGAACAAAAUAUAAUAUAUACUACACAAUAGCAAAUUCACAUUAAAGUUAAUUUUCAGAUAUGAAAACACUAAAAAGAUAUUAAAUCACUUUUCUCAUUCAUUAAAAUCAAAAAUCAAAAACCAACAAUUGAAAUUCUUUUAAAACUAUUAAAGCUUAAAGAAAUUAAAGUUCGACUUUGAGAUGAUAAUGACGAAAAUUAAAUGAUAUCAAAACUUAAGAUAGUAAAAAAUCAUGCUGAUAAAAAUAUUAACAAAGUAAAAAAAUCUUAUUUAAAUGUGUAUUUAUAAAUAAAAUGAUAGCUUAUUUACAAGCUAAUAACUUUUUAUCUAAAUAAAAUUUAUAAAAUAAAAUAUAACUAAAGGAUUUGAUUUGGAUGAAUUAAAUCUUAAUAUUAAUCUGAUUUAAUUUACAUUCAAAUUUGAAUAUACAAAAUAUAAAAGUUCAAAUUAAAUUAAACUCUUAUGUUUGACUUGCUAAACUAUUUGACAUGUCUUAAAUGUUUGAUUUAAUCUAAAAUCUUGAAUCUUGAUAUUAUAAACAUUCACACGUAUAUUCAUAACAAUAUUAAUUUUUACAUUUCAAUACUUUAUGGCAUAUUGUCAAUUACAUCGUUGGUGAAACGACAUAACAUGGAGUGUGAAGAUCCACCAUCCAUCAAAGACUUCCUACUCUGUUCACUCAUUUCCUUUGCUAUCUUCCUAACAUCGCUAUCCUGAUCCAUCAGACACCUGAUUCCUCUCUCUAUAUUCUCAGCACUCACAAUUUCCACUACCUCAUCGAGGAACAAAACAUCUUUCCUGUAAUCCAUUUUAAUCUCCACCCCUAAUCCCAGCUCCUUCACCAUUUGAAACGCAUUCAAUUGUUGCUCUGCGUAAAGAGGCCACGUGGCCAUUGGUACUCCGAACCAUAUAUUCUCCAACGUGGAAUUCCAUCCGCAGUGAGACAUGAACCCUCCAAUUGCUGGGUGGCCUAAGAUGGCCACUUGCGGGGCCCAUCCAAUGAUCUUACCAAUCGUGGCCGUCCGUUCUAAGAACCCUUCGGGUAAUACCUCUGCCACGUUCUCGUAAUCAGUUGGGCUUAACAUCAUUUCUUCGAUUGGGGGUUGGCGUAGGGACCACAAAAAUUGGUGUCCACUCUGCUCCAGUGCACGGGCAAUCUCUUUCACCUGAUCCCCACCAAAGCUCCCCCUGCUCCCAAAGCAGAGAAACACGACAGAUGAAAGGGGUUGUUCAUCAAGCCAUUUCAUGACAUCAGAAUUCUGAUGGAGCCCACUUGCAGUCUUGAGAUUCAAUAUUGGUCCCACAGGGUAAACAACCGGGUAUUUACCAUCAGAAAGGAACUCGACUGCAUGGGAUUCAAGCUCUGAAAAUGUAUUUGCCAUGAUACCCUUGACUUUUCUAAGCUCCUUGGACAUAUCGUGGACCAUAGUUGAAGUUUCGAGCCUAAACACUACAGUGGGAAAGAAUUUAGCAGAAACUGGGUUGACAUAAGAGGGUACGGUGAACUCAGCGUCCGAGCCUUUUAACUUGGUGAUGUCAACGUUUUGCUCAUCAUAAGGAGCUUGCAUAUAAAAUUGGAUGCCAAGAAAAGCUGCACUCGAGGUGUAAAAAACAUAACUAGCAACACCAAAUUCAUUAGCCAAAUCUACCAAAGUAGUAAAAAACAUGUCGAUAACGAACCCGGCGAGUCGAGGUGAGUGGGGCACUGAGCUGGAGUACUGAACUAUUUUGGCGACGGCCUCUUUUAUGUGGGGCCUCUGGCUUUGUAUUAUAGUGGUCAUGAACUUGUAAGGAGGAACACCUUUUUGGGUUUCAUCUUGAGGGAGGUUGAUAAAUUUGAUGCGAGUAUAGAUGGUAUCAUUAUCAGCAAUGAAAGAGUCAAUGUAAGCUGUUAAAUUUGGGUCGUAAGGCAGCUUGAUGAUGAGGACGGUGAUGGAGAGAUUGGAAUUGAGAUCCACCAAAAGCUUAGCCAAUUCCACAAUAGAUACCAAAUGGCCCAUUCCAAGCGUUGGGACGAAUACUAGCUCUGCCUUCUUCAUCGUUUGCACAGAAAGUUACGUAACAGCGACGAUGAGAUAAAUAUGGUCCUCUUGGUUUCUGUGUAAUGUAGUUUUCAAGGCAAUAAAUAGAAGAGUGUUAGAUUGUGAUGUGAUUUCUUUGCUGGGUUUAAUGGACCUGGAUUUGUACGCUAUCCAUCCAUUCUUGUGGUUUAGAUAAGCCUUGGAAGUUGCGAGUGUGAGAUUUUUCAAGACUUGACCCAUAAGUAAAAAGGAAUCCCUUUUAGUGGGGAACUGGUAGCUAAAGCCAAUGCAUUGACUUAGAAGUCGUAACUAGAUAAAAAAAAAAAAUCUGAAAUGCUUCUAAAUAUGAUAAUUGAGGUGCAUCAAAGCUUAUUUAGUUGAGAAACAUGAUUAAAAGAAAUGCUCGAGAGGCCAUUACCCAGUUAUUCUGAGCCCAAGAACAUUGCAAGAUUUUUAUUCAGUUGAGGAAAAGGCAUCCUGAAAUAGAGUUAAAGAAUAUCUUGAGGGAAAUUGAGCUUUGCUAUGAAAUAUCUACAACAUGCUAGCCAGUCUAUCACUCCACUUUCCAAGUGCAACUUAGGGCAACUUAUGCCAGAUGUUGCACAUUUGAAACUCACCAUCAACAUUUCUCCAAAAUAAAAAUUACUUUUGGAUUCUUAAUUCACAACAAAGAGAAGUUACAUAUACCCACAUAGUGACACAUUCCCAAAACUGGCACAGAUUAUAAUUGCUGAAUGCUCCAAACAAAAAUGGUUCCCAUGGCAGGCAAAGCUACCAAAAAAAGUCUUCGCGACUGUGCAUUUCUAAAUGGGAGAUUGGAGAUUUCCAUGCCGUCUUCAAGUUUGCACUUUCUAUUAUUAUGGCAAACUGUUUAUUACUACAAAGAAUUAAAGUGGGAUAGGUCAUAUACUGUGCUGCAACUCUAUAUAUAAACAAUCAUGUAAGGGUUUAGAUGAUAACAAUGAAAUCAGACUCUUUCAAAAAAUUGUAAAACGAAAUCCCAAGUUUCCAAUGACGUCAAGUUGAAAUUACAAAAUUUAAACUUAAGCUUUGAUUGCAAAAGUAAAACUUGUUAUGGCACAAUAGUAUAGGUAUAGUCAUUGAAGAAGGUGGCUUUUGGGUAAAUAACUAGAUGCAUGCGGUACUCCUGCAUUUUGAACAAAUUUAUACAGAGCAAAAGCUUUCAAAUAGGAAACACUUCUUCACCCAAUGAAAACUGGAAAGACAAAGAAAAUAGAACACGCCUUUCCUGCACAUUGUUUUCCCCACCAAAUGAUUGGUACUUUGACUGUAAUAACAAUAAAAAGACAUGCUCUUAGAUCCAGUGUUUAAAUGUUUUAGCCAUGUAUAUUAGUUCAAAAUACUUCAUUCAUACUAAAUAACAUGAUAGCAAGAAGGUUACAAAAGGAAAGCAAGAAAUGGCAAUGUCUUUUCGGUUUAGACUAGCUGCAAUGAUGUACUGUCUAUAUGAGAGAACCUGCAGAGCAAUUAUCUAUCUUGCUCAACUGUUACAAAUGUGCUUUAGAGGUUAUCAUAUAGUUUCACCAACAUCCAGCCUAAGCAAUUGCAAAAAAUAAAAGAAUUAAUGAAUUCCUGAACAUACGCACACACACACACAGCCAAAAUACUAUAGCUUAUUUAUUGAAAUUAAUCCACUAUGCCAAAUUAUGAUCAAUGGAAAAUUCAAAAUUUUAUUUUUUGUAAUAUAAAAAGGAAAAAUCACUGAAAGCAAUUUACCAUAUGCUGAAAAUGAAGAAUACAUAUUCCAUAUACAGGUAUUAAUGAGUAAAACAUUUAGUUACCUCUUGGAUCGGCAUAACCAUCUCAACACAUCUCUUUAUUGGAAGCUUUUCCCUCUUCUAUUUCAAUAGAAAACAAAGAAAGGGCAGCUGAUGUUCUUAGUUAAAUCUUGGGAUUAAAGGUUAGAACUUGAUACCUGCAAAUGUGGAAAACAGGAUCAUGACAACAGCGUGGAAGCAAUAACUACUAAAAUUCAAAGGUAAGGUCUCUUGACAAGUGCCGAUUUAUGAAUGAAAUGAAAUCUUUGAUCAUCUUUAAAGAAAGUUUUAAGAGCUAUAAAAUGAUUCUUGAGAAGUAGGAUAAUCAACAUCAGAACUAGUUCUACAGCCUUACUAACAAGUUAUAGUAGUUAGCACACGACUUUGUUAACAAGUUAUAGUAAUUAGCAUACAACCCAUUAACG
rnacentral:lncRNA from 1 species